rnacentral:rRNA from 1 species
UACGUAGGGGGCGAGCGUUGUCCGGAUUCAUUGGGCGUAAAGAGCUCGUAGGCGGUUCGGUAAGUCAGGUGUGAAAACUCCAGGCUCAACUUGGAGACGCCACCUGAUACUGUCGUGACUAGAGUCCGGUAGAGGAGCAUGGAAUUCCUGGUGUAGCGGUGAAAUGCGCAGAUAUCAGGAGGAACACCAGCGGCGAAGGCGGUGCUCUGGGCCGGAACUGACGCUGAGGAGCGAAAGCGUGGGGAGCGAACAGG